CACUUCCGGCCCGGUCUGGAGUGACUUCCGCCCAGCGCUGCGGGGCCGCAGUCGCGGCCACCUAACCCGCAGUCACGCCCCGCUUACGGCCGAGGGCGCUCGAGCAGAACUUUGAUAGGAUGCCGAAUUAAACUCACCGUGAAGCAAGUCCCACUGGACGAAAAUUUGGUCGUAGCAUUUCUCAGCUGUCUGGCUCCCUGAGACUCCACCGCGGAAGGCGCAGAAAGGCACGGGACUCUUCAAGAAACUCACGGCUUUUCAUCCCAGCCAGAAGGACGGGGGAAAGCAAAGACAGAGGUUGGAGCAAGUUUUAUUUUUCUGGGGACGGGGGAGGAGAAACUCAUCACAUUCAAUAAACCUCUUUCCUCUCGUCCCCCCC